CACAGAAAAAGCACCGGCUAACUCCGUGCCAGCAGCCGCGGUAAUACGGAGGGUGCAAGCGUUAAUCGGAAUUUCUGGGCGUAAAGGGUGCGUAGGUGGUUUAAUAAGUUAUGUGUGAAAUAUCUGGGCUUAACCUGGGUCAGUCUUUUAAAACUGUUUGACUAGAGUAUAGGAGAGGGUAGUGGAAUUUCCGGUGUAGCGGUGAAAUGCGUAGAGAUCGGAAGGAACACCAGUGGCGAAGGCGGCUACCUGGCCUGAUACUGACACUGAGGCACGAAAGCGUGGGGAGCAAACAGGAUU
rnacentral:rRNA from 1 species